UCCGUACUUAGGUCCAUUUCCCUUUUGGUUUAGCUGAAUAUACAGAUAAUACACACAGAAAUUCAGGUAGACUUAUUCACGUCAGAAAACCUGAUUAAAUGAGCGUGAUUAUAGGUACACCAGGCAUGCAUAAAUAACGUUAUUUAAAAAAAUAAUAUUAUUUAUUUAAAAUAAAUAGCAUUAUAUAUAUAUAUAAAGACAACUCAUCCCAAUGAGGAGGUGAAUUCAUGAGAUUCAAUACUUUUGGGUUAAGCCUCAUCUGCAUUUUAGUGUGGGCAGUGCUUGAUUAGUUAUUCAACAAAGCAGAACUCUAAAGCUGAUCAUUCUGGAAAGAGGCAAGAGUCCCAUUUUUCAAACUCAAAUUGUACUUAGCUUCAAGGUAUGGUAAUAUUCAAUUAAUAUACUUGGCUUUCACUUUCAAGAAUAGAACAAAUCCCAGAACUAUUCUUGAAAGAUAUGUGACUCAAAUUUAAAUUAUCUCUCUUUUUUAUCCUUUAGGAUUAAAGGCAAAUUAAAUAUUAUCUGAAGAAAACAAAACCACUUCAACUUUUAUUUUCUACAUCAUCUGCAGAAGUAAAGAGGAUCCUGCUAGAUAUCAUCAGCAAAGUCAACCAUGUUUUGGAGACAAAUGCUGGACCCUCUUCCCCAGUUGCUCAUGGAAGACAGACUGAUUCACACACAAACUAUUUGGUGAGACCUGGUACCAUGCCUCAUCUUGAUGCAAGAAAAGCUUCCAAGGAGAUCAAACCAGUCAGUCCUAAAGGAGAUCGGUCCUGAAUAUUCACUGGAAGGACUGAUGCUGAAGUUCCAAUGUUUGCCCACCUGAUUCGAAGAACCGACUCAUUGGAAAAGACCCUAAUGCUGGGAAAUAUUGAAGGCAGGAGAAAGGGACAACAGAGGAUCACACGGUUGGAUGGCAUCACUGACUCGAUGGGCAUGAGUUUGAGAGAGCCCCAGGAACUGGUGAUGGACAAGAAAGCCUGGCGUGCUGCAGCCCGUUGGGUUGCAGAGUCAGACACGACUGAGGGACUAAACUGAACUGAACUAGCUUCCAAGUAUAGAUAGCAGCCAUAUGAUAUGAAUGACUGAAUGUCUAAUAACUGAUAGUAUCUUGCCAAAUAAUCAAUGAUGUGAAAGUGGCAUAAUGCAGUGAACAAGUAUCAGACUGAAAGCAAGCAAGGAGACUGUAUGAAGUGCUGUCUCCCGGAUGACAAGCUGUAUGAUGUGCCGUGACUCAGUAUUACAGAUGUAAGUCUAUUCAUCUGGAAAGCGGAGUUGUGGCAUGUACUAAGUUGUACACACCUCAAAAAUCAAAUAUUAAUGUUUUUUUUUUCAUUUUCCAUUUUCUUAUCUGAUUUCACUCAAUUUAAGAUGUAUUAUUUUUAGCAUUUGAUCAUUGUCAUCAUAAAAGAUAAUGGAUAUUCCUAAGGAUGUAUUCCUGGAAACUUUAGUUCUUUCAUUAGCAUGCCCAUUUCCAUAUUUCCUGAAACGAAUUUUUCUGAGCAAGUGUUUGCCCUCCCUAGUCAGAUGCAGGUAUUUCGUCUGUUAUUCCUACAUGCUAAAACCUAUUAAUCUGUUCUGAAAUUUUGAGUUUAUUUUGCCAUAAAUCACUUGUGAUUCUUUUGUAUAUAUGACUAGUUUUUUUUUUAAUCUUUUUUUUUUGUAUUGGGGUAUAGCCUAUUAACAGUGUUAAUGUUUGUUAUAAUAAUAGUUUCAGGUGUACAGGAAAGGGACUCAGUCAUGCAUAUACAUGUAUCCAUUCUUCCCCAAACUCCCUCCUAUUCAUGCUGUCACAUAACAUUGAACAGAGUUCCCUGUGCUGUACAGUAGGUCCUUGUUAGUUAUCCAUUUUAAAUAUAGCAGUGUGUACUUUUUAGAUUAGGCCAGGAAGUUAUUAAUCACUUGUUGCCAUCUGUGACACCCAAUGUCAAGUGUAACUCCUUGAAGUAAUAAGUAAUGCUUACUAAUGUUCCAAAUUCAACGUCUUGACUGCAUUACAAGAGCAAUCAACUAAACUUUAUGUACCAAUUGGAGAAUUCCAUAUAAAUUUUCUCAGAACUUCCUAAUUCCAAAAAGACUUUCCCAAAACCUUCCAUGAUAUUCACGGGAAGUGUGUAAAAAUGUAAGGAGUAUGUGAACAAACAGGAACAUGAAAAAUAUUGACAAAUUUUUCCAUGAUAACAUUCAACAGAGCCAUUUAAUAAAAUGCAAUACAUAAAUUUUAAUAAGGAGAGAGCUGAACACAUUCUUCCCUUGAAUUUACCUUGAUUGCACUAAUGAAAGGCUUACUGUUUCUCAACUGGGAGUAUGCUGCUCUUGUUUUCAGCACAGAUGUUUCCUUCUACAGGAAGUCAAAUCCAGUUUUUCACACUUACACAAAAAUUUUUACAGUUUUUAGCUAGGCAUCAGCUAGCUGUUGGAUAAAUGAUUUCAUGUUCUGUGUUUACAUGUGUACUUCACAACUGAAUUUCAUUCUCAAGUCUGGGAAAACAUUAAUAACUCAGACUGUAUCUUAGGUAUUUUAGAUUUAGUCCUAGGUGAAUAUCACUAAUAUAUGUGCCAGUGCCUGAUUCAUAGGUCUCAUACCUAAACAUAUUAUGUUUUAUGCCUUGGAUAUUUUGAUAUAUAUUUAUUUGUUUUCCACAUCUAAUUAAUUGAAUAUUUCUGAAUAGUAUCACUGUGAUGAUAGAAAGUAGCCAUAAGUCUACUGGCUCCUGUUAAAGAAUGCUAAAUUCCAUGACAUUGUAAUUGUGGGGUUUCAGUUUUGACAGAACUCAACACUGGCUCCCAGUACUGGAAGGCAGCCAAAUUCUUUAACUGUUUUAAAUGGGGCAGAAUGCACUAUCCUGAGACAGUAAAUAGUGUAUGUGAGAGUGAAAGUUGCGCAGUCAUGUCUGACUCUGUGACACCAUGGGCUGUAACUCACCAAGAUCCUCUGUCCCUGGAAUUCUCCAGGCAAGAAUCCUGAGGUGGGUAGUCAUUCUCUUCUUGAGAGGCUCUUCCCGACCCAGGGAUUGAACCCAGGUCUCCUGCACUGCAGGUGGAUUCUUUAUUGUCUGAGCCACCAGGGAAGCCCAAGACAGUAAAUAAUCUUGUCCCAAAAUUUAUUUGUAAAUAUUACUGGUUAGAUAGGACAUUUGAAGCAGUCAGCAUUCAGAAAAAUAAGUUAAGUGCUAAAUGACAUAGGAAGAUGAUGUCGCCUAAUCCUCAUUAAAUUUGAUGAGUUAGGUAUUAAUACUUACAUAAAAAAUAUUCCAAUAUCUUGCAUCUUUUUUCUUGGCAAAGGUGAGAUUUAAGACUUGGAAUUCUGACUUAGUGGAAGGCUAUGAUUACAUGUGUUCAAUAUUUCCCUUGCAUACAUGCUAAGUCAAUUCAUUCGUGUCUGACCCUUUGAGAUCCCAUAGGCUGUACCUACCAGGCUCCUCUAGCAAUGGGAUUUUCCAGGCAAGAAUAUUGGAGUGAGUUGCCAUUUCCUUCCCCAGGGUAUCUUCCUGAACUAGGGAUUGAACCUAUGUCUCUUACAUCUCUGUCUCCUGAAAAAGCAAAAUAACAAAUGCUUGCUAACAAAAUGUG
ensembl:lncRNA